AGUGAACGCUGGCGGUAGGCCUAGCACAUGCAAGUCGAACGGCAGCACAGUAAGAGCUUGCUCUUACGGGUGGCGAGUGGCGGACGGGUGAGGAAUACAUCGGAAUCUACUUUUUCGUGGGGGAUAACGUAGGGAAACUUACGCUAAUACCGCAUACGACCUACGGGUGAAAGCAGGGGAUCUUCGGACCUUGCGCGAUUGAAUGAGCCGAUGUCGGAUUAGCUAGUUGGCGGGGUAAAGGCCCACCAAGGCGACGAUCCGUAGCUGGUCUGAGAGGAUGAUCAGCCACACUGGAACUGAGACACGGUCCAGACUCCUACGGGAGGCAGCAGUGGGGAAUAUUGGACAAUGGGCGCAAGCCUGAUCCGGCCAUACCGCGUGGGUGAAGAAGGCCUUCGGGUUGUAAAGCCCUUUUGUUGGGAAAGAAAAGCAGCAGGUUAAUACCCCGCUGUUCUGACGGUACCCAAAGAAUAAGCACCGGCUAACUUCGUG
rnacentral:rRNA from 1 species